rnacentral:rRNA from 1 species
GAUCAUGGCUCAGGACGAACGCUGGCGGCGUGCUUAACACAUGCAGGUCGAACGAGAAUCUGUGGAUCGAGGAUUCGUCCAAGUGAAGCAGAGGACAGUGGCGGACGGGUGAGUAACGCGUGAGGAACCUGCCUUUCAGAGGGGGACGAACAGUUGGAACGACUGCUAAUACCGCAUGAUACGUUUUAGGGGCGAUCCCUGAGACGUCAAAGAUUUAUCGCUGAAAGAUGGCCUCG